rnacentral:rRNA from 1 species
UACGUAGGGUGCGAGCGUUGUCCGGAAUUAUUGGGCGUAAAGAGCUUGUAGGCGGUUUGUCGCGUCUGCUGUGAAAUCUCAAGGCUCAACCUUGAGCUUGCAGUGGGUACGGGCAGACUAGAGUGUGGUAGGGGAGACUGGAAUUCCUGGUGUAGCGGUGAAAUGCGCAGAUAUCAGGAGGAACACCGAUGGCAAAGGCAGGUCUCUGGGCCACUACUGACGCUGAGAAGCGAAAGCAUGGGGAGCGAACAGG